CGGCGUGCUUAACACAUGCAAGUCGAACGAUGAUGCCCAGCUUGCUGGGCGGAUUAGUGGCGAACGGGUGAGUAAUACGUGAGUAACCUGCCCUUGACUCUGGGAUAAGCCUGGGAAACUGGGUCUAAUACUGGAUACUACCUCUUACCGCAUGGUGGGUGGUGGAAAGGGUUUUACUGGUUUUGGAUGGGCUCACGGCCUAUCAGCUUGUUGGUGGGGUAAUGGCUCACCAAGGCGACGACGGGUAGCCGGCCUGAGAGGGUGACCGGCCACACUGGGACUGAGACACGGCCCAGACUCCUACGGGAGGCAGCAGUGGGGAAUAUUGCACAAUGGGCGGAAGCCUGAUGCAGCGACGCCGCGUGAGGGAUGACGGCCUUCGGGUUGUAAACCUCUUUCAGUAGGGAAGAAGCGAGAGUGACGGUACCUGCAGAAGAAGCGCCGGCUAACUACGUGCCAGCAGCCGCGGUAAUACGUAGGGCGCAAGCGUUGUCCGGAAUUAUUGGGCGUAAAGAGCUCGUAGGCGGUUUGUCGCGUCUGCUGUGAAAGCCCGGGGCUCAACCCCGGGUCUGCAGUGGGUACGGGCAGACUAGAGUGCAGUAGGGGAGACUGGAAUUCCUGGUGUAGCGGUGAAAUGCGCAGAUAUCAGGAGGAACACCGAUGGCGAAGGCAGGUCUCUGGGCUGUUACUGACGCUGAGGAGCGAAAGCAUGGGGGAGCG
rnacentral:rRNA from 1 species